GGAAGGAAGUUGUUUAGCUGAUCUGCCCAGAGGUGUCAGUGGGGAGGCUGGGCUCUCUUUUCAGAAGGGUUGUUUCCCUGAGCAAUGUAGUACAGGAGCCAAGCUGAAAGCAUGGAGAUCACAGGAUACAAGGUCCUGACCAACUCACCCAACGGGCCUCAGGGGAGCACAUCACUGAGAAGAAAGCUUCAAGAUCAUCAUCAUCAUCAUCAUCAUCAUCAUCAUCAUCAUCGGCAUCAUUACACACAUAUCCCAAAUGAUCUUUUUAAAGAAUUUUUAAAAAUGUACCACGCCUUUUUUCUCUGGAAUGUCAAACAAAUGACCGAAUAAGUGGAAUUCAGAAA